rnacentral:other from 1 species
UAUUUCCUGCUUGGUGCGUGGCGUGUCCUUUUGGACCCACAUUUUUAAAUAGGGACGUUAGACUUCCUGGUCUGUUUGCAGACCUCCCGUUUCCGCUUUGACGGUAAAUGGAUGUUGGGAGCAGUAAUGGUCAGGAGCGGCAUCCCACCUGCCUUUUCGUGCAGGUCAUAAUUGGAUGCGUGACGGCUAAAGCGGGUGCCUG